rnacentral:rRNA from 1 species
UACGUAGGGGGCAAGCGUUGUCCGGAUUCAUUGGGCGUAAAGAGCGUGUAGGCGGCCAGGUAGGUCGGUUGUGAAAACUGGAGGCUCAACCUUCAGAGGUCGACCGAAACCAUCUGGCUAGAGUCCGGGAGAGGAGAGUGGAAUUCCUGGUGUAGCGGUGAAAUGCGCAGAUAUCAGGAAGAACACCGAUGGCGAAGGCAGGUCUCUGGGCAUUAACUGACGCUGAGGAGCGAAAGCAUGGGGAGCGAACAGG